rnacentral:rRNA from 1 species
GACGAACGCUGGCGGCGUGCCUAAUACAUGCAAGUAGAACGCUGAAGGAGGAGCUUGCUUCUCUGGAUGAGUUGCGAACGGGUGAGUAACGCGUAGGUAACCUGCCUGGUAGUGGGGGAUAACUAUUGGAAACGAUAGCUAAUACCGCAUAAUAGCAGUUGUUGCAUGAUAACUGUUUGAAAGGUGCAAUUGAACCGCUACCAGAUGGACCUGCGUUGUAUUAGCUAGUUGGUGGGGUAACGGCUCACCAAGGCGACGAUACAUAGCCGACCUGAGAGGGUGAUCGGCCACACUGGGACUGAGACACGGCCCAGACUCCUACGGGAGGCAGCAGUAGGGAAUCUUCGGCAAUGGACGGAAGUCUGACCGAGCAACGCCGCGGGAGUGAAGAAGGUUUUCGGAUCGUAAAGCUCUGUUGUAAGAGAAGAACGAGUGUGAGAGUGGAAAGUUCACACUGUGACGGUAUCUUACCAGAAAGGGACGGCUAACUACGUG